rnacentral:rRNA from 1 species
GACGAACGCUGGCGGCGUGCUUAACACAUGCAAGUCGAACGGAAAGGCCCUGCUUUUGUGGGGUGCUCGAGUGGCGAACGGGUGAGUAACACGUGAGUAACCUGCCCUUGACUUUGGGAUAACUUCAGGAAACUGGGGCUAAUACCGGAUAGGAGCUCCUGCUGCAUGGUGGGGGUUGGAAAGUUUCGGCGGUUGGGGAUGGACUCGCGGCUUAUCAGCUUGUUGGUGGGGUAGUGGCUUACCAAGGCUUUGACGGGUAGCCGGCCUGAGAGGGUGACCGGCCAAAUGGGGAAGGAGAUACGGCCCAGACCCCUACGGGGGGCAGAAGGGGGGAAUAUUGCAAAAGGGGGGGAAGCCUGAUGCAGCAACGCCGGGGGGGGGAUGACGGCCUUCGGGUUGUAAACCUUUUUCCCCUGGGACGAAGGGGGGGUGACGGUAAUGGGUAAAGAAGCACCGGCUAACUACGU